AUAUGAAUCAUCUGGGAUCUUAUUAAAAGAGUUCCUAUUCAGUGGUUCUGAAGUGAGAACUGAGAUUCUGUAUUUCUAGCAAGCUCCAAAAUGGUGCUGAU
rnacentral:miRNA from 1 species